rnacentral:rRNA from 1 species
GAUGAACGCUGGCGGCGUGCCUAAUACAUGCAAGUCGAACGCUGGAACUCUAGCUUUCUAGCUUGAAGGUGUGGCGCACGGGUGAGUAAUACAUAAGCAACCUCCCCACGUAGACUGGGAUAAUCUUCGGAAACGGGGACUAAUACCGGAUAGGUAAUCGGAAGGCAUUUUCUGAUUAUUAAAGGUUAAAAAUGCUGUUGCAUAGGCUUAUGGCCCAUUGGUUUGUAGGAGAGGUUACGGCCAACCAAGACGAUGAUGCCUAGCCGGCCUGGACGGGUGAACGGCCACAUUUGGAAUGAGACACGGACCAGAAUGCUACGGAGGGGAGCAGUAGGGAAUGUUCGGCGAGGGGGGAUAACCGGACCGAGCAACGCCGGGUGAGAGAUGACGGGGUUCGGGAUGUAAAGCUCUGAUGGAAGAAAAGAACGGUAGAUAGAGAAGAUCUAAAUGACGGUACCUUAUCAGAAAGCCACGGCUAACUACGUG